rnacentral:misc_RNA from 1 species
UGGUUCUGGCAUCGAUGAAGAACGCAGCGAAAUGCGAUAAGUAAUGUGAAUUGCAGAAUUCAGUGAAUCAUCGAAUCUUUGAACGCACAUUGCGCCCGCCGGCAUCCCGGCGGGCAUGCCUGUCCGAGCGUCAUUGCCACCCUCAGGCUCUGCCUGGCGUUGGAGCGCUGCGCUGCAGCCUCCGAAAGACAGCGGCGGCCGCGUCCCCCCCGCCGAGCGUAGUACAACACACCUCGCUCCGGCCUCCGGGCGCGUCCGGCCGGAAAACUGCACUGUAGUUGACCUCGGAUCAGGUAGGAAUACCCGCUGA